UACGGGGGGGGGCAAGCGUUGUUCGGAAUUACUGGGCGUAAAGGGCUCGUAGGCGGCCAACUAAGUCAGACGUGAAAUCCCUCGGCUUAACCGGGGAACUGCGUCUGAUACUGGAUGGCUUGAGUUCGGGAGAGGGAUGCGGAAUUCCAGGUGUAGCGGUGAAAUGCGUAGAUAUCGGGAGGAACACCGGUGGCGAAGGCGGCGAUCUGGGUCGAUACUGACGCUGAGGAGCGAAAGCGUGGGGAGCGAAACAGG
rnacentral:rRNA from 1 species